UUACGGCCAUAUCACGUUGAAACACCGGUUCCCGUACGAUCACCGAAGUUAAGAAACGUCCAGCCUGGUCAGUUACUAGGUGCGUGACCGCUUGGUAAUACCAGGU